rnacentral:rRNA from 1 species
GAUGAACGCUGGCGGCGUGCCUAAUACAUGCAAGUCGAGCGAAUGGAUUAAGAGCUCGCUCUUAUGAAGUUAGCGGCGGACGGGUGAGUAACACGUGGGUAACCUGCCCAUAAGACUGGGAUAACUCCGGGAAACCGGGGCUAAUACCGGAUAACAUUUUGAACCGCAUGGUUCGAAAUUGAAAGGCGGCUUCGGCUGUCACUUAUGGAUGGACCCGCGUCGCAUUAGCUAGUUGGUGAGGUAACGGCUCACCAAGGCAACGAUGCGUAGCCGACCUGAGAGGGUGAUCGGCCACCCUGGGCCUGAGACACGGACCAGACUCCUACGGGAGGCAGCAGUAGGGAAUCUUCCGCAAUGGACGAAAGUCUGACGGAGCAACGCCGCGUGAGUGAUGAAGGCUUUCGGGUCGUAAAACUCUGUUGUUAGGGAAGAACAAGUGCUAGUUGAAUAAGCUGGCACCUUGACGGUACCUAACCAGAAAGCCACGGCUAACUACGUGCCAGCCGCCGCGGUAA